ensembl:lncRNA
CAGUGUCCAAUCCGGCUGCUGAACAAGCAGUUAACAAAUUGAAUAAACUUGAGCCGAGAAGGGCCGCGCAGUAGGUUUGUGUUGUAUUUACAAGCUAAGAGGAUGAUCCUAUUCACUGAGUAUGAAUGUCAUGGACUCCGGUGUAACUGGUUUACGAGCUUAAAGUUGUGAUCUGCUAACGAUUAAGAAGUGUUGUAUAUUCUGCAUAGAGCAUUUACAUGACUGGUCGGUGGCUUUACGUAGUGUAACAACGGCACUGAUUGAACUAGCAAGGUCACAGAUGGCAGCAUUAGCAAUGUUCUGUCUCUGUUUAAUAUAUUGUCUUUGUGCUGUAAGAUUUGUCUGAAUUAUUCCUUUAGCGGGUGAGCUAAUUGUUGUGGGGUUUAGUGUGCAUGAUGACAUUGUUGUAGAAGAGACCCGUUGUAGAAGUAGUGAAUAUGAAGGGCUAAUUUUGAGGUGCGGUUUUACAUCUGAUCUUCUAGUAAUCAUCCAACACCUCAUACAUACAGAAUAAGUAGCUACUUUUUGAAUAAAAGGGAUUAAAUCCAUGCCUUUCUGGACUCUGACAUGUUUGGAGAAGUCUGACGUGAUUUUCAAAUUCCGAUAUAAAAUUUUUUUAUUGUUAUAUUUAUUAUGUUUGAGGUGUUUUUAAUUCUGUGUAGAUUCAGGUGUCUUCAGAGACCAAACAGAGCGAGCGAUUCAAAAUGGAUUCCCUCAUGUCCAUUUUGCUUUGUCAAAUCAAGUUAUUCUGCCCUCCAGCUGGUCCAUUACUGCAUUUGAAUGCCAGUAGGCGUACUUGACCCUUGUCAUAAACACUUUAAAAUCCAGGAAUAGAACACAACCACUUUUUACAUGCAUUAUCCAUCCUGUUGUCUUUCCUCUUUCUAAAUGUUGGAGGGAAAGAAGAAAAAUAUCAUGGCUUAACAGAAUGCCUUUUUUUUGCUGUAGUCAAAAGUGCACUAAGUUUUGCAUCAGAUUGAAUGAGUAAAUAAGUUAUACAACGUCUCUCGUGGCUUUCGAGUUACAUCAGAGGCUGUGAAUACAUGAGCGGAGAGAGCGACGUCUGCUGCAGUGAAGGCAAUGAUAGGCAUUCAAAUCCACAGCAACUAUAUCUGUAGGCUUUUGGAACCAAAUUCACGUUGGCCAUCAUUUGUAUGAACUUGUUGCUGUUGAAACGUUUGAAGGGUAUCCAAGGUUUUGUUAUGGUCCUGCAUAUUUCAAAUAAUAGGGAAAUAAACUUGUAACCAAAAAAUGUUACGUCAUAGGUGUCGAUGUAUCAUUUUACAUGCAUUAGAGUAGUUAUUUAGUCUGAAGGUGAGGUGUCUAAAGGCUCUGUGAGGUUGGGGACCCUACAUUUUCAUAACUUUCAGGUAUGAAUGCCCCACAUAGUCGACUGAUCAAAGCAUUAUUUUAUUGGAUCUUUGAAUGUCCAGCACAGUGCUAUGUCAACAAAACAUACUGUGGCUCAACACAUCCUAAGCUGUGGAUCCUCUAUCAGUGGCCCAUGUCGCUAAAGCAGCCGUAAAGAAGAAAUCUCUGUCUGUGUGGAGGGAGUUUUUGUGCCUCCGGUUGGAAUGGAUCUGUCGUGUUGCACAUGUUUAUGUUCUAGAUAGUUUAAUAAAAAGACAAAUAGAUGAUGAUUCUGUGUUUGCCUCCACUUCAGCCAAUAAAAUGAUUCAGCCCACCUCUUGAUUGUCACUUUUCUGUAUUUUAAAAAAGAUUGUAGUUCAUUAUUUGUCAAUGCCCUCCUAUUACUAUUUUAAAUAAGUUACUGUAGCUUAGCUACUGGGUAAGAUGUAGCUUUUUAAUGGAUAUUUUACAACGUGCAGCAGUGACUACAUUUAGAUUGUAAUAGGCGUUAUUCGUAAUUGUAUAAUUCAUUAAAAUUGAGGUUUUACUUUAAAGUAUUAGGUCUCUGCUUAUUAUCAGUGAACUGUUAUUGAUAAAGUCAGACUACGAGAGCAAAGACCCCCCUCAAGAGGAUUUGAGAGAGGAAAACAGAUUCCAGAGAAACCUGUUUCUUGAACCACUUAUCCGGGUUCGGGUCGCAGGGACAACAGCUCCAGCAGGAGACCCCAAACUCCGGGCCACAUCUACCAGCUCUGACUGGGGGAUCCAACUGUAAACAUGAAUUGUCUGAUAUUAGGAGAAAACUGUAUAGCAUUUUUAUUUACCCAAACAAUCACAAAAAAUUAUGUAAAUAUGCAAGCGCAGAAAAAGUCAAAUGUUACGUAAAAAAGCAAAGAAAAACAAUCUGGGAGAGGCUGGUUAGUGUGUGACCUUAAUGGUUGUUCCAUUUCACACAACUUUGUCUCCCAUUAGAUCCGUAAGAGGAGAGACUACAUAACCUGCGUCACCUGAGGGCAGAUGCCGCCUUCACAUCCAUCAUCCCACAACAAAUAGGUGACCCUUAAUAUACAGGUGGCCAUCUCAGGCUUUUACACAGAAAACCUUAAAAGGAAUAGUGGGACUAACUGGAUAGACCAGGAAAAAACAUGUGAAGCAUUAAGAAACACAAAGAGCCAGAAAGUAUAUUAGAGAGCCAGUUCAGGCUGGAGACCAAAACUGAGCUAAAAUUAGGAAGAAUAUCUCUUGUGCUCAGGUCGACACAAACAUUAUUUCAUAUGUUGGAUGGUGUCCACACUACACACACGCUUCUUUAGUGACUGCAUCCAAGCCAGGGUUAAGUACCCUAAAACCUCCUCUGUGGUAGUCCCUGAUACAGGCUGUCUCUAAGACCAUGACACACACAAACACACACACGCCGUCACGAGGAGAAAAACGAUACCAGCAUUGCUGCCGCGACUGGUGAUUAUGUUAAUUCGCCCCAGUGCUUGUCCUCUGGGGAAGAAGCCUUUUCAACCUUCGGAAGUUCAACCAGUGAUCUCCUGCCGUCACUUGACAGCAGCACUGCUGAUUUUGCUGAAAUGUUCCUCUUCAGCUCCUUUUGUUGUAGCGAGCUGCCACUUUCCAGUGCCCCAGGCCAGUGCCCAUUGUGCGUCCAAAGCUGCCACGUCACGUUGAGCAAACAUACGUGUCCAUCAGCUAUGUGGGUGGACGCACCAGAACAAGAACAGGCAGUCUUCUCCUUUUCUGGUGGUGAGCUUUGCACCAAAAAAGUGCACCUCUAAUUGAAAUGCCUCCUUUGAAAACAGUGUUUCAUUUAAGUGGGUACUCAGAGGGAUGUGGAUCUUUGGAGGGAAAAAACGUGACCGAUUCAUCUACUGAAACACAAAUGAUGGGUCGGAAACAAAACCAGCUACAGCUCGCGGAAAACACCUCAUUUGAGGAAAGAGGCCGUCGACACUUGCUAUUUUCAUGUUGUCGUUCCAUGCUGUGAACUGAUGAAAAGAUCUUGCGUGUUAGUCCACUUCUCCAUUAUGCCUGACCUACUUGUCUGCGCCUCUCAGCUCCAAACCUUGUGGUUUCUACUGAAGAUGAUUGUUUGAGAACUGAGCACAGAUGCUCCCACAUGCACUUUUCAGCAAACGCCACUCAAACCGGAAAAGAAAUAGUACAUUUGUUGUGGAAUGCAGCAUAUUAAUCCACAUUUGGGGACCUGGUGAGAAUCUUUUCAUUUGUGUGAUUGAGUCAAAACAAACUACUGUGAUGGUGACUGUGUGACUAACUGAGUAUGCGCACAGUUUAAACUACAAAAAAGCAGUAAAUUUUUUAAAUUCCAUUAACUUUCAGAGAAGUAUGACCAUAUUAUUAAGACUGGGUCUUUGUCUCGACUCAGACAUUUUGUUAUUAUUAAGCAAGCAGGGUGAAGCAACGGGAUCCUUUGACAGUAAAAACAUUCCGACCGCAGUUUAGACAAAUAUGAAAAGAGCCAUUUUCCUCCAGUGACAUAACUGCAUAUUUGGGCUUCAACAGAGUCCUGAUCCUUCUAUCCUUCUACCUCUCUUUACUUCUCCCAAUCAGUGAGAAACGGGCUGCCAGUAUGCUGAACCUUGACAAAACGGUUUCAGAGAAACUGUCAUCUUUGCACCAGCAUCGACCUUCCUUAUUUUAAGUAAUCUCCCUUUUUCGUCAUCACUUGCCGCUCUUUGCUGUCCGUCCCCUGAGGACAAUCACACUUCAAGAGCAGAGAGUGGGAGGGAGGAAACAUUCAAAAUGCAAAUAUGCUAGUGUUUAAAUAUAUCUGGGGGGAAAAGCACACACAUUAAGCCAUAUUUUAUUAAAUAAAAACUAAACUAUUAAAAAACAAACUUCCCUUAUUGUACAAGCAAAGUGUAAAGUUAUGUUUUAUUUAGGGCUGGGCACAUUAACGCGUUAUGAAUACGUUAACGUAGCAAUUCAUUUGAUUUUAUCAUGUGAUAAGUGAUAAAAAGAGGAAAAAGCUUUUGAAGGUGCCGUACCUUUCUCUAUUUGUAACCACAUUACGGCUGUUUUUAUAUAGCUGAGAUUCAAAGGCAAAUCUACAGUCUUUACAGACUUCAGUCAUUUUUAAGCUCGAGAACUUCACCUCACUAACAGGGAACCGUACUACUGAACAUAUGCUGCAUUAUGUUGUUCCUUGAUAAAACACCAAUGUUACUUCUUCAGAAACAGAUACUGCAUGUCAACAAGAUGUUGCUCCAAGAGUGCCUCUUUGUAUUGUUCUGACAUUACUUUAACAUAAAAGGCUGCAAUAGGCUAGUUUUUUAUGUAUUACUUUGUGCAUGAUGCGAUUAAUCGCUGUUAAGCACAGAAAAUCAUGCAAUUCAUUAAUUUAAAAAAAAUGUCAUCUUUGUCCAGCACUAGUUUCAAUACAAAGUCAAUUCAAGCAGUGUAUCUCUAUAAAUAUAUACACUGUGUAUAUGUAUUAAGACUCUUGUGUUUCUUGGUCUCUCCCUCCUACCAGUGAGCUUUUUUGGGGGUGAAGUUUGACAGCUGCUCUGAUUGGCUCAUGGACCGGAGUCCCAGGCACGAGGCCACUGAGCAUGAAUUUCAAGAAAACAGUGCAUGAAUUGUCACGGUGUGGUUCACUUCCUGUCUUAUUUUGUAGUUUUCUGCCACUCGUGUCCCCGGGUAACUUCACUUCCUGCCUUGUCCCGUCAUCCCCUGUGAUCGUCUAAUAGUUUCCACCUGUGUCCAAUCACCUGCACCUCCCUUGUGUAUUUAAGCCAUGUGUCUCCUGUGUCACUUGUCGCGUCAUUGUCUUUCGUCUUGGAUCGCCGUAGUUUCUCGUCUGUGUGCUUUUGCCCCCGGUUCCUGUUUUUUGAGCUUUGACUAUUAAAGUCUUUUGUUUUCUGCAAGUCUGCGUUUGAGUCCUGCCUUCCACCCCGCAACCCUGACAUGAAUGAACAAACUGAAAACUAGAAGAAUGCACUCAGUAAUUUGGCUCCACGGGUUACAUUGUUUGGUCCUCCACAAUGUAUGAAUGUGUUCCUUAAAACUUUAUGGCGUAUGUUUUUAACACUGGAAGUUACAUAUACGCUUGGUUGAUAAAAUUAUGACAGCACUGGUACAUGUCUGCAUACAAAGACUUUUAAAAUGCUGUGGGGUUAUCUGAGAAAUGUCUUUAAUAUUCACCCAAAAAUGGACUGAGAAAAUAUCAGCAUGUUUAAGUCAGCAAUGUGGUCACAUUAUCCUGUCUAAACAAAAUAUUUCAUUUCACUCCACAUAUACAAGCAUUAGAAGAAAGGUCGGAGGAUCGGCAAUGUAUUAAAGGAUUUAUCACAUGCAGUAGUUGUUAGAUAUUUCAUCAGAUAUGUUUUGCUGGACCAAAGUCUCAGUCCACAUAGCUGACAGAAAGACCAACCCUACCAUUUCUAGCCAUGAUGGUUCCUUUGCUAAAAAGUUAGAAUCACAUUAGCUACGAAAAUAGCAAGUCUCAGAUUUGAACGCUAGUUGUAACAUUGCAUUUCUAUAUCAGUGGAUCCAUUGAACAUUGGGUCAGUAAAACAAUGAGUUACCUCCUGUUAAUGAGUGAAAUGGUGGCCCGAAUGAGACACAUCAACAACAAAACAAUUUUACUUAGGAAGCUAAAUCAAAGAUGUAAAUAUAAUUUAAGCUUCACUUCCUCCCUAAUUCUAAAGAGCUUUUAUCCAUAUAUGGAAUCGGGUGUUGAGACUGCAUCUGUUCAUAUCAGGUAAUUGUAUGAGCGUGGGCAACAUCAGGGAUGGUAAAACGUCUUUGGCAGCUCCGGUAUAGGAUCACACAGCAUGGCGCUCGGCCUUAUGCCACCUCUGCAGUCUUCCUAGGCAGUGUCUAAAUUGGAUGUGGCGACAUGAGUCAGAGGGAGCAAUGUGAGCGGACAGUUCAACUUUCCAGGGAACAACACAAUCACGCUUGCUUCAACCACAACCCUGCUGCCAGGCCGGUGGUAUUAAAGAGUCUCCACUCUGACAUCGAAACAGGACAAUAAACCUUAUUUUAGUUUUCAUCAGAGGAAAUGUAUAAUUCUUUGCACACUUAACGCCCUCCAGAAGCACUUUUUCAUCUUUCAGUCUUAAAUGCCUGUGGCCCUCCUUAUGAAUAACACAAAUGAAGAACUCAAGCUUGGACCUCUGCGGAGCAAUGGCUGAUCCAGUCGAUUGUCCAUCAAACAAGUGAACUACACACAACCGGUGUGGGCUAGAAAGGUUCCCGUAGAAUGUUACUUACAAAUCCACCUUCCCCCAUUAAUACUGUAGAUUCUUGGAGUUGGAGCGGCCAUCAUUUUUCUCAGCUACAAUACCCUCACAUGACUGGCGACAGUCAUGGUAUUUGACUUCUCUGGUGCUUUACCAAUCCUGCCUUCUGGAGAAAAGGCGAUGCAUCUACAUGCUCGCACCGGAUCGUGGAGUAUCCAUCAACAUCGUGCUUCUGAAGGUGCUUUACCGGUGUCAUUCCUCUUCACUAUCAACAUACACAACACACAUCUCCGGCAUCUCAACUCUGUUUCCUGCAAACAACGAAGGAGACUCAUCAGAAAACUUUUUGAUGCAUCAUCAAUGGAAAAAACAAGAAGUACAAUAGACUUUUUCACACAUGGCGACAUCCAACAAUAUCAUGAAGCUAGCUCUGUGAGCUCAACAGUUACGAGAUGGGGGGAAAGGAAAGAGGAUGGAAAGAAAGUAGGGUGAAGGACAAGAUCAAAUCCACCUGAAAAAACACCUCUCUUCCUCUCCACGAUGAGCAGUCGCAAACGAAAAGUUAAUUCUGUCAGCAGAUCAUCCUACGUCCAAAAUCUAGACUCUGGAAAAUUAUCCCUUUAAGGGUUUGCAUAUUGCUAGGUUUAAAAAAAGCUUCAACAAAAUCUCAGGCCACACUACAACAAAAUGUAAACAGGAAAUCAAUUGUUUGCUAAGGUAAAAAAUGAUGACCUUGUGGUAUUGUACUCUUUAAUAAUAAAACGAACUGCUUCAUAACUGAGAUAUUUACUUAACAUAUUCCUUAGUGAAGUCAGACAAAUUUUGUUAAUGGUUGUAGAACCUUUAUUUCUUCAGACUUUAUUAAAAAGCUAUCGAUCUCUCUGCCCCCGGAAUCAGGAAACAUUUAUUACCAAAAUAUGUCAGACAUCCAAGGAAUUUGACUUGGCAGUUGACCAGGCGAUUUGGGUAACAUUUGGCUGAAGGUUCUUAUAGGUUCUAUAUGCCUUUAUGCUGAUCUCGCCAAUUCUUGUCAGUGUUUUCCUACAAGGUCACAGACUGCUGCUGGUGGCCCCCCUCCCUAUGGCCGGCCAGGACUGGGUUCGCCCUGCUGCACUCGGCACAGUAGUCUGUGCAGCAGCUCCCCAACCUUGCGGGGUAACAGCCAGAUCACAUGCUACAUAUGUUGAAUCUCCUCUGCUCUCCCUCUCCCCAAAAACUCGCACCUAGGAGGUGAAUCAGCCGCUGCAAAUUUGAUUUUCAUGCAGGAACGAGACUCAGACUCUUCACACCAAUCAACAGCCAUUUUCACUCUUCGCCAAAGGGCUCCUCAAAACUACUGCGGCUCAUAAGAAUGGCAAGGUCUCCAUUCUGUCCUUCAAUAUAGUACAUUUUAAAAGGGUUCUUUGAUUUAGACCUCUAGGGUUCAGCAACAGUCCUGCUGGGUCAUACCAACGGACGAUGGGCGGGAGGGGGUGAAAGAUAGAUCCACGGUCAGCUAGUCCAUAACACAACCAUAUAUAUAUAUAUACUGUACUAACCUAACUAAGUCUAACCUUUCAUUGUGUUUUUCCUUUUUUUCUUUGUCCCUCUUUUGUUUUAGACUUUAUGUAAUCAUAAAUCAAUAUGAUGCAUGUUGGGACCAAUUCCCUCCACAAGUCACAUUUGAGGAGGGUCGCACCCGAUUUCGUGCUGAAAUGACACCUGACAGCAACACAGAGAGAACCCCUUGAAAGGUUUGACAGCAAAUAUGUGAUUGGUUUAGAGACACAGCGCCGCCUCUGUUGGUCGUAUACACCUGGGGGCAGCCAAUCUCUGCUGAUCGCAUAAUGGUGGGAGACCAGCUGAAGCAUAUCUACAUUACGUCUGACAUAAAGGGAGUCUUCCUUCCUGAACUUUCGCUUAGUAAGUAGGGUCCACCUUAAUGUCAGUGUGAAGGCCCCCGUGGAUGCCACCGCGCCCACAAGAUGGUUGCAGCAGCUCUUUGGGCCUAAGAGGUGCCGUGCGCCUUUACGGCUCACGGACAUCACGGUGCAUAUCCACCAAAUACUUCAGAUUAAAUGUGGCAAUCCUUCCCCCACGAGUGUAGUUCUCCGUCCAUGUUCCUCUGCGUGAGCUGUACCAGGCGGGCAGUAGGAUCCCUCUGGGCUCUGUUGGUAUAAGUCAUCCAGUGUGACUGUCUCUGGCAGUCAGCAACGAUGAAAUAGUGCGAAGGUUAUGCACAACGGCCCUAUGAAUUCUGGAUGAUGUGGGUCACUUGGAAUCCCCAUGAACUUGUGACAAGAUUCCUUAGAACUGAUAUUAGAAUCAGAUAUCAGAAUUGAUUCCAUAAAGUCUAACAAAAGAUUUAUUGAGGUUAGAAGAUACAUAUCACCGCAUUUAAACUUCCUGGUUCUGGAAGGAAGGCAGCGGGUCAUCUAAGCUUUACAACAUUCCUUCAGAAACUCAUGGCUGACAACAGAUGCUUUUAUUUCACACAACGCACUGAACCACGAUCAGCUCAAGGAGAGCUGUUUUUUUUUCUUGACGACUGGCUCGCCCUCCUCCACAAGCAGGCAAGAAAUCCCCUCGGGAAUCAGUUAGAUUUAGGGGUGUAACGAUUCAUCCACUGAAUCGAUUAAUCGAUUCAUAUUCCUGUGAUCCAACUGAAUCGAUCUGUGCUCCACAAAUCGGCAUUCCGGACGACAUAUAUCGAUUACAAAUCGAUUGAAAUGGUGCAUAAUCGAUUGUAUCGAUACUUGGAAACUGCACAUUGGAUUUGAGUACAAAAACGGUGUGGAUACGUGUUUGUUUUUUAAUACUUUAGACACGUUAAACGUUACUGGAUUCAGCAUGCCUUUCUGCGACGUCAUUGGUACGCAGCGGCAAUAACCACAAACAACAAAACAUAGCGUGGAGGAGACCACUGCGAGCGAGACAUUUACAAACCAACUUAUCGAUCCAGCGCGUGGAAACAUUUUGGCUUUUGCAAACACGGAGGUGUUCUAAAUAAGUCGCUCGCUGUUUGUAGAAUAUGUAGAAGCCAAAUAAAAACCACGGAAACACGACAAAUCUUUCCGGCCAUCUACUAAGGCGCCGUGGGAUUAAACAACGGCGACAGUCAGGACCUCUAGCAGCGUCACCGCUGCAGCAGCAGCAGGUAACUCAGCUCUGCAGACACCUCAGGUCUCGCCAGCACCAAACCCAACAUCACAGUAACAAGUUUAUCUGUAAAGACAUGCGACCCUACAAUGUGGUUGAAAAUCUGGGGUUCUGUGGAUUGAUCUAAACAUUGGGUAAUUAUUGUGUAAUGUUUACAUUGAAAAUGGUUGCACAAUAAAAGGUUAAUACAUUUGCCAUUAAUUGUUGUUUGCUUGUUUAUAAUAUCCAUAAUUAAUUUAAACCGGAUUUCCUUACAAGAAACAACAGGGAUCUCAGAAACUUUGUUCUAAAUGAACGUUCUAAAUGAACCCAGAUCGUCCAUGAAUCGAAACGGCAACCAUGAAUCGCGAUUCAAAUCGAAUCUUUGUAAAAUGAAUCGUCACACCCCUAGAUAGAUUAUAUAAUCUGAAGUCAGUGUCAGGGUCAAAAAACCCUGUGUUGAGUAGUCUAAAUAUGUAUAUCCUGUAUAUUUAUAUAUAUGUUUUCCUUCAAAAAGCAUUGAACAGAUGGCUCUUAAUUAGAGUUCAAAAGAUAAUGGAUCACCAUUAUCAUUUACAUCUCAGGCCUCACAGCCUUUCUUGUACCAAGGCAAAGCUCUCAGAAGGGAUUGUGGGUGCCGGUGAACAAUGAAAAGCUAAUUUACUUCCAUGCACUGUGUAGCCUCCCUUUGCAGAAAAUGAAUGUCAUUACCCUGCUUAACCUCUUAACCUGUCCUUUGUGUAUUAAAUGAAGCCGCCUGAGAUCUGAGCAAUUUCAAUAAAGCAUACUUUGAAAUGAAUUUGAUAUUUUUCUUUGUAGUGAACAAAACAAGACUAAUAUAUUUUUGAUUUACACGUCAUAUUAAUUUCAUAAAUGCCUGCGUAAACUGCCGGGGGAAAAAAGCACUUCUUUGAAAUGAAUUCCUUUUUAUAUUGUUGUUUUCACGCUUGAAAGUAAAAUCAAUUGUAACAUUUAUCUUUUAUGUUGCAUAAUCAAAUAAAUAUACUCUAUUUAUUUCAUUUUUGUGGUCCUUUACAGGCAUCCAAAAAGGCAAUCCUGUAACGUCUCGUUAGCCCCAUAUUAGUGUGUGUGUGUGUGUGUGUGUGUCUCUGACAAUGCCCUGUAUCUCGUUAAUGACUGUGACUGCCCCUUUUCUGGGUUUUGUUCGGUCGGUGGAGUUGUUUUGAUUUUUGUUCAUCAGUAAAGAACCACCUUUUGUUUCAUGUUCAAACUGGUCUCCAGUGUCAGUCUCUGCAUUUGAGUCCUCACCCAGCAGUGAACCGUGACAAAUCCAAUUCAUAUUACAUAUAUAUGUAGUUUUAAGUCAUGAAAAAUCAGUUGUCUAAGAGGAAUGUUCUUCUCAGGCUGUGAAUAGGUUGUGAUGUCCUCUAUCCAGACCCCUCGUAUGACCCUCUUAACGAUGAGUAAGAGCAACCUUUUAGCCACUCUUUAUCCCUCCCGUUUCCUUUUAGGCCAUUCAAGCGUCAGUUAUUGAUAGUUUCUUUAGGCAUACAUUUUUUGAUGUUUUAUUUCUCUCUCUAUAUAUAUAUCUAUACAUUAUAUAUGUAUGUAUAUGUGGCAAUCGGGAGAUUUAGUUGAAGAAGUUGUACUUAUUAUCAGGUACCAGCCACCUUGGUAAUUCCACCCAAGGGUUAAAUCUUGUCCACACAGUAACAAGUCUUUAAGACACUCAGAUCUGGCAGAUCCAAAAAGCCAGAGUGGGUCCUGAGAACCCCCUGUUGGGCGGCGCCAUAGAAUAGCUUGUGAGACUCUGUCGGCCUGCGGUAGACCUGUCUUUAGGUGAAUCAGAACAGCAGCGUUCCUCUUGAACAGUCUCCGAUCAGGCAAUAUCCAUCUGCUCCAGAAGGCGGUAGGAGGUCAGGUAAUGCUGCCAAGUCACAGAUCACGCUUUCCAAUUCUUACCAAUUCUUCUAAAGAUUUGAAUUCAUAAAUGAACGCAUAAUCUCUUUAGAAAGAGUAUUUUAUACACUGUUGUUCAAUUGUAUUUUCAAUAACUCCAAAGAAGUGAUCAACGCUCCAUCAUUUCACGGCUGCGUUUGAAGUGCGAACAAUGUCGCCACAUUUAGCAGGGACGUUUUCCUCUGCACAGUUUUACUUCCAAUGUAAAAAGCUCUCUCCAUCCUCAACUACCGUCUCGCUCUCUGCAUCUAACUGACUGCAGCACGCGGCGGCUUCAGGGGUCAGGGGUCAACGCACACCGGAAGCAAACAAAGCUGCGAUAACUGGGUUAAAACAUAUUGUCGCAUUCAUCUCAGCCACAGUAAUCUACUGCGUUCACAUUGACAGCUGUAAUAUAUGUUAUUUGUUUAGUUGCCCAUCGUCUCACUGUCCAAUGUUACGCACCAAGCGCCAUGUCAAGUUCCAUAUUUUGGCAAUAAAUGUUCCUGAUUCCUGGUAUAAAUAUUUAUAUAUAUCCAUCCAUCCAUCCAUCGUCAAACCGCUUAUCCUGCACACAGGGUCGCGGGGGGGCUGGAGUCCAUCCCAGCCAACUUCGGGCGAUAGACAGGGUACAUCCUGGAUUGGUCGCCAGCCAAUCGCAGGGUAUUUAUAUGUAUAAUAUUUUUAAUUUUUAACUUUAACUAUUCUCUUAUUUUAUACUAACCCAUAGCCUUAUUCUACUAACCCAUAGCAUUUCAUUUUAUUUUAUUUUAUCACUUGUCUACUGCUGUCUUGUUUUCUAUUGUUACACUGUCUACUGUCACAUAGCAACUGCAAAGACAAAUUCCUUGUAUGUUUGACAUAUUUUGGCAAUAAAUGCUUCCUGAUUCCUGAUAUACGUGUUUUUGCUAUAUUUGUAAUUGAGGAAAGUAGUCUCAGAAUGACUUGAGGAAGAAGAAAGAAGAAAAAGUGAUUGGUUGGUACAUCUAUCUUGUCUUAUAAAUGAGCAUUAUUAGUAGUCAAUUAACGUAAUAUAAAUGAAACAAGAUAAUUCUAGACAAAAUAAGCAAUCAUUAUAACAAUAGGAUGAAUUCAUUUUUUCCCAUUUAUGGAAGAGUCGUGUAAAUUCCAAUAAUCUGUUAUUUAAAUUGACAGAUAAAGUGUCAGUACCAAGAAAUACACAGACACAACCCUUCAUUCAGCUUCUACAAAUUGAGAAACAUGGCCCAAUGUGGAAGAAGAGAGACAGAAGGGGGCCAGAAAUUGGAUUAGCCAGUUGGAUGUGAUGAUAAGCCAGUGAGGAUGGCCAACGCGGCGGCGCCUCCGUGGCCUUUCCGAUAACAGAGCUAAUCCAUCCAUCUUAGCCUCCUGGCCUCUGCUUUGAUUCCCCUCAUCAAACACCCCGCCGCCCUAUUGUUAGCCAUGUUUGCUGCCCGUCCCGCUGCGGUGCUCGGGCCAUAACUCUUCACUCUGCCACGUGGCGGGCAGGUCAACUAUUAAUUUAGGUGAGUGCCACUGUGUCUGUACCUGCUGUUCAGCUCAGAUGAAUGAAAGAGACGCGCCGGCUGCCAUCUUUCACCUGCCUGGCGCCCUCCCUCCUAUGGGCCCCCCUCACACGCGCCUGUCCUCCACGAGUGCCCACCGUGACCAACAAGACAGAUUGCCAUAUUACGGCAAAACUAUCAGCGGGGCAUUUACAGUGUCCAAGAGUUAAGGCGGAAUCAUAAGUCAACGCUAACAGACAGCUAGCCAUUCAGGGCAGGGGGCCGACGGAGAGGGGGGGGAGUGGCAGGGUGGGCACUGAGAAGAUCAUGGCUGUGUCUUUACUCCAGAGGUGUUCCAAAAAGUGAGAUUAAGGGGUCAAACUUGUACUAGGAAGUUCUGCUCCAGUAAAUUCUGCUCCCACUGAGUCGUAAAAUCUCUCUGCUGGAUCGUCAAAUCAAACGGAGCAAGAAUUCAGUAAAAAAAUAAAGUUUACAUUGGUAUAUACUAGAUUAGGCAGUGAGACAAUGGACAACAAUUUACAAUUUAACUCCACAGUGUAAAAUAGAAGGCUGUAGGCUAGAGGGAUAUAGAAUACCAAUUAAAUACUGUGGGGAAUGCAAAAAAGAAUAAGGUGAACCUUGAGAAGUGGAUUAAAAAAAACCUGCAACUAUCCACAAACUUCUAGUAAGAUUCUUGUUCUGUCUUUAGUCUAAAACAUAUCGCAGGACUGCAAAAACAAGGGAAACAUUCGAGCAACAACAAAGAUAAACCCUUAAAGCAGGACGUAUUAUGUCAUGAUAAAUAAUUCAAUUCAUUUGAUUUAGUAUGGCCCAAAACUGCAAAUUACAAAUUAGCCUCAGAGGGAAUGAAAAAGGGAAGAAGCCUCAGAGGAGGAUCCCUCUCCCUGGUUGGACAGACUACAUGUGGACAGAAUGAACUAUAAAUAAAUAUAUAUGUAAUAUAUGUAAAUAUACAUACAGUAACACUUAGUUAGUAAUCAAAAUAUUGUUGCAAAUUCUUGGAAUCAAAUUUGCCCACUUUACAGCGUGAGCCGUGUGAGCAGCUGUGGAGUGGUGGAUGCAUUUUUAAUUAUAGCUAAAUAAGUGUGAAUGGACAAUUGGACGGCAGAUCGCCUCCUCUGAUUUCCUUAAUCAGGCUGCAGUGUUGUUGCCUUUCUUUGGUCGUUAGAUGCUUGUAAUCAUCAGACCGAAUGCGGCCCGAAUUCUGCUCCGUUACUUAGCAUCAGUUAACAUAGCGGCCACAACAUCCAGCGGACCAGUGAUGACUUCAUCAACCCAAACUGGAGGAGUCACUGGUUAGUUUAGCGAAAUUGAACUAAAGCAGAAGACCAAGGCAUGAUAAAUGAAGAGCGACUUUCAUCAAUGGAUGUGGCACUUCACGGUUCCUCGUCUGUGAAACACCCCCCAGGUAGCUGCUCCUGACAGCUGCUCCCUUGUUUGAACAUCAAUUUCAUUUUCGGCGCUCCUUUGCCUCUGCCCUGCCAAAUCCCACAACAAUUACCAAGCAAAUAAAGUGUUUGUGGAGGAAUGCUGCUAAUCAAACGUGGCCUUCAGGGCUGCUUGUGUACAGUAAUGUGUCGAUGCAGUGGGUUUGCAGGCUAAUAGUGUGUCACCGGCUUACCGCCGACUGGCACAAGGCUGGUGUGACGUCUUUUCAGGUUUGGACUGCUAAACGUUUUGUUCUGAAAGGGGAAACCUUCUUUCCUCCCCGGUAAGCUCUUCACUGAGAAGCUGCUCAUACACUAUCGUUGCCAUUUUGACUUGGGGCUGUUUGGGUGUUUUGCAUUGAUAUACUCUCGGUUCAUUUUGCUUCCAUGAGAGGAUUAUGGAAGAUGUUGUUCAAUCAGACAGACAACCGUGCAGCUGUAAACAGCUGUUAUUCCAGCCCAAUCAAGUCUGACAUGUCAGACAGAGAUAAAAGAUCAACUAAUGGAUCGACCAUGGACACAUGUGUUCCAGCUGUGACGACACUGUGCCAUUGUGACUUCAAUCUAGACACACAAAGUUCAUAAGAUCAAUUUUCCUUCGACGCACAUUGUGAUAAUAUAAAAGACCCUUUUGCACCCAACCGGCGCCAAUUUUAGCUCCAAGCCAUAACAGGAUUAUCCUGCACUCAUCACAAACAUACGAAUGCGUCACACUGUUCCAAACAUUAGUCUUGGCAACAAUCUGCACUAAUCUGUUUGAAAAUAUUCCAAACAACGCAACAAGUCAUGAAAUAAGAUAUGCAAAUGAGUCCAGAAAAUGUGCUCACAGCGGCUCUAACGUUUCCUCAGCGAAGCAACAAGCUAACAAAGGAAACGGCUAACAAGCUGACAAACCGUCCCAUGACCAACGCAGAAACAGUCCCCAAGCCUCCAGCAUAUCAAUCACAGAGGGAUCUUCCCUUUUGACGUUUUGAACAAAAUAAUGAAAUUAAUCCGUUUUUUAGCAAGAUACUGCAGCCACCACGAACCAUUUUAGCGCUUUCCACCCACGUUUUAGGGGGUUUUAUUUUCCAAUUUAUUCUAUUAUGGCUUCUGAGUGGCUAAGGAAGCUGUCGAUCAUCAUCCGAGGGUUCGGAUCUAAUGAGAUCAGACGAGUUGAAAAAGUGGUUGAAUCAGUCGAGUCAGCAAUUUCAUUUUAAGAAAGAAAUCAACAUUUGAACUGCUCCCGUUUCCCUGCCUUGAGGCCUUCACAAAAGCCUGUUCUUGAGUAGUUUUCAGUAUUCGAUCACCGUGAAACUUUCCACUCUUACUGUUCACACACUGCGCACUCACGUAGAUGUAAUUUUAACCUGGUGCCUCCAUGUUUCAAAAAUGUAAACUGCUACUUUGAGUGCACAGUGGUAUGGAACGCUGUAGUCAAUGUGAACAGCAACUCUACGUCAUCCCUGAAUAAUGCAUGACUCCCUUUCAUCUACCCGUAUUAUAAUAGUUACGAUAUCGCAGAUUUAUAUUCUGAGUAUAUAUAUAUUCAUUAAUAUACUAAUUUGUUUGAAUAAGAUAUCCUUAUUAUGUUAAACUGAAAAUAAAUAAUAAAUGAAUGUUUUAACUUAACGUUUGACACACUUUUCUUGUUUGCUGAAACUGAUUGUCUGGCGCUUCUAAAAAAAAACAAAUCCAUGCGCCGCCACUGCUGAGAGGUCUGUUAGUGAAUCUUUUCCAGGCAAUGCACAAUUAUUUUUUUGGUCUGUAAUAGUGAUAUACUUUUUCACCAGUAACAUAUAAACAGAUUUUUACGCAUCACACACUCACAGGGGUUCUUCUUUAUCCCCACAGAUGUCCAGAUAAACAAAGUAGUUACAGAGUUAUUACACUUUUUAUCAUGGUAUGUUAUUUUUGGCCAAAAACAACAUUGGGUUUCAACCGUUUAAAAGUUUUUUUUUAACCUUUAUAACUCGUUACUGGGAUUUAGCGCAUUGGGAAACCAUCUCAGGGAAAUACUGAUCACUCUAUUGGACAUUUAUAUGUAAACAAGACAACCAUUAGGGUUUGUUUUGUGAUUUAAUAUGUAGCUUAAUGGAGGGUAGAAACCAUCCAACCAUCCAUACCAAGUACUUUUUUAAAGAAGUAACUAUGGUUCUUGGUUUAAACCCUUUUCCUGUGCAGAGGAAACUGUUACGGAGGAUUAGACAUGACCCAAGAGUGGACAUGGAGACGGCAGAGUGGGUGAGGCAACGGGUUGGAUGAGCAGGGGAGGGAGGAGGACGGGGGCUGGAAGGCUGAAAGGCUGGAAGGCCGGCUGGCAGAGGAACGGGUUGGAUGAGCAGGGGAGGAGGAUGGGGGCUGUAAGGCCGGCUGGGGGAAGAACAGGUUGGAUGAGCAGGGGAGGGAGGAGGAUGGGGGCUGGAAGGCCGGCUGGCGGAGCAACGGGCUGCUGAUGGGUGGAGCAGAGGAGGUCAGUGCGGGUGGGGAGGUUGCUGCGCUGCGUCGUAGCCUCUGGCAUCCUACGCGAGGUGUACUCGCAGGUGUUUAGGGAAGCCGACUCCACUCCUCAUUCCCUAAACACCCAGUUGUCCUUUCCUAACUCCUCAUGAAUUAUCCUUACCCCGGGACGUUUUCCACACAGGUCAAGGAAUGGCAGGUAGGAAUGGCGGUUAGGAAUGGCAGGUAGGAAUAGGCGUUAGGAAUGGUGGUUAUGAAUAGGCGUUAGGAAUAGGCGUUAGGAAUGGUGGUUAUGAACAGGCGUUAAAUGUAAAUCUCCUUGCUUUAUGUUUGGAUGUUUUAAUGAUUUUAUGUGAAGAACUUGGAAUUGCCUUGUUGUUGAAAUGUGCUGUACAAAGAAAAUUGCCCUGUCUUGUAUGUUGUCAUGAAUCCAUCACUGUCAGAAAUCUAACCUCGGCCCGAGGUUAGAUUAGAUUUCACAGUGACAGACAGAAGUACAACAACAAAGUGUUGCCUGCAGGUGCAUAUUAAACAUCAGGAUCCUAAAUAUAAAGUAAUAGGUGUAAGAAUAAUUUUUAUUCUUCUAUUUGUCGUUGUGUUUUGCACUUCAGGGCGACCGUAGCGGUGGGAUCUCAUCCAGGUUAGCAAACUGAAGCAGCAUUCCAACAAAUAUGCAGUCUGACAAUUGGGAUGCCGAACCCUCCACCAACAGUUCUCCAUCAUCAUUUGGGGGGGUUUCUGUGAGGACGGCAGCAUUAAGUGCAGCACAUUCACUGUAUUGUCAACAGUAUUAAUCUAAUGUGUGAAACAGCAUAAGGAGCCAUGAGUGUGCAGCAGGACGCAUACACAAGGGAAGGUCUGGUUUAUUAGAAAAAGACAACCAACAGUCAAAACUGAUGUCAUGUAACUGUCCUAUUGGUCGAUUUAUUAUGUAGUUCUUGUUUCUUGCUCUUCUGGGUUUGUAUCCUUAUGGUGGAAUGCACUCAUUGUAAGUCGCUUUGGAUAAAAGCGUCAGCUAAAUGACAUGCAAUGUAAAAUAAUUCAUAUUAAAUGGUGGGUCUACUUUAGGUCCAAGUGUCUAAGUUGACAGUAAUUAGCUUUUUAUGUCAUUGAAGGCAGCAGUCAAGGAGUCACUCCAGCUCAGUUUUUUAAGUAAAGCGGUUAUGUCAGUUAUGUUUAGUGCAAACAUUGACUGUCUUCCUGGACAGCUACUUAAACAAUUACAUUGGUCAAGUUGACAACGGAAUUGUUUGUCUCUGGCGGAAUGAGUGACAGAAUAAUUUGUGAUUGAGAAACCAACACCAGCUUUCCAUAAAGAUGCAAAAGGGGUGUAAUAAAAUCACUGGCCUCUCAUUUAAGUGAUGCUGCUUCAUGCGUGGAUGGAAAUCCACGCUUUGGGAGACCACCAAGGGAUUAACCAAAUAUCUGUAUGAAUCUUGUCUGGUCACUAUUAGGCCAUAAAAGGCUCAAUGUGAGGAUUAUUCCAUGUAAAUGUCCGUUAACAUACAGGGCGAGGGAUAAGUGUACGGUUCACUAACAUGUCUCCUGGGCCAACGGUCCUGCAGCAUAUGCAGGAAACGUCUCAUUGUAACAUGAGUAACUCUACUAGUUAACGUGGUAACUUUCUAACAUCUGAGAGGCGGGUGUGACAGGUAUCAAUGUAUCUGCCCCUCGGCUUCCCUCUGCUGCCUCUCCUCUCUCCUCCUCCACCUCUCAUGGCCUCGUAAAUGUCAGCAUCCUCCAGUCUGCACUGAAACGUAAUCGCAGCUUGUUCUAUGUUGUUGAACCUCUCUUGACGUGUGUUGCAUGAGGAGUCUCCCAUGUCACACAACUGGAUUUGGCGUGCCGUUUUCCAAGCUUCUUUUUCAAUAAUCCCCUUUGAGCGUUACUCCCGGUCUGUACUCCGAGCCGGAGGAGGUAUUUAGGUAUUCAUCUUGAAGUUGACCUUUGAAUGUUGCACACGAGUCAUGAGUUAUCCAUCUUAUUUCUCUGGCAAUGACGUCUCGUGUUCAGAUAAUCCAGGUCUGUAUCAUCAUGGCUUUUCAUUUAGAUGAGUCUCACCCAUCUGAGUGCUGAGUGGUCGAUGUUGACUUUUAAAGUGACUGUACAACUAUACGCCAGCAGCUCAGAGUCCAGAUCCAAUCCAUGUGACUCUGUCCUUUGGACAAAAAACAGAUUUUCCCUUACUUGUGCUUCCUCUCGCUGCUGGAAACAACGUUUGACUUGAUCCAAUUGCAGGCUAAAACAGCAUUCUUUAUAAAACCCCAUAUUUAUUCAUUUUUCCAACAUUUUAUUAUUUCAGGCUUUAACUUUGACUUUCAACCAUUUCCUCGAGUUAGUGUUUUCUCCAAAACAAUCUGGUCCAAUUAAGACUUUAAGAGAACAUAAGUUCACUUGGUGACGUCUGUCCAAAAGCCUUUCAAAUAUCAGUGCUAAAAUAAAUACCGGUUUACCACUUCAAAGUGUCGGUAACAUCACAAAGUAAUUUGCCACCAAGCGGGAUUCUUUUUCCCGAUUCCAGGACGGGGCCGAACUGCGUGUGGGAAAAGCCUCUUACUGUGUAGGAGGAAUCAACCAUUCUGUGAACUGAGUAACGAUAACUCGUCCAAUCACAGCUUCAUUGUCAAUUUGUGCGAAAUGAGCGGACACUUACACAGACACUAAUUGAUCAUAAUAGAGCUCCUUCACCUCAGCAGAGAGGAUCAGCUGCACAUUACGCCCCCGCCCCCCCCUUUAAAGACACGAUCAACUCUUUAUCACGCAGAUUACCAUCCAGCUGACAUUGGCAGAUUCAACGUAUAGAUAUAAAACAUAUUGAGGCGACAUUAUUAGGACGUGACCCUCACAAAGCGCCAUUGGGUGUAUAAUGUGUAGUACUUCCUGCUACUUCCUGCUACACACCGUUACCUGGAGUCCACGUUUCCUCAGUGCUUCAUCCCAGUUCAGGGACACAUGGGUGCCACUGCAAACAGACCAUUCCUGAGAUAAAAAUAUCCAACGAUUUCGGGGACAGAAAGACUGUUAAAGUGGGACAAGGAUCAGCGUGGGAACCAUGUCUCCUGUGAGUUUGAGUCUCCAUCCAGAGCACAAUGAAAAGGAGGCCAACUCAAUUAAGGACAUGAGUUGGUUUAAUGCAGUAUUUUCUUUGACGGAUUUGAUACAUAUGUGGGUUUGUUUGCGUUUAGACGUAGAAGGGAGAGACAAUGAUAUAAGCAGAAGACAGAAAGAAAUAUCAAUUAUAUACAAUAUGAAUCACAAGCAUCGUCUAGAGUCUCAGGCAUCAACUGUGGCAGCCUAAUUGCAGCCAGAAGGUGGAAGACGUGUGGAAUACUAACUGGUUGACUAAUACUGGUUGACUCCAUCUGCAGAUGUUCCCAGCACAAGCAAGCUGUAUUGACAUAUUUGUUAUCCUUUCCUUCGCGUAUAAUUUGUAUUUCCACUCUCUCUCACUGUGCCGCUCAAUUCCCAAAGGCAACCAAUUACUUCCAAUGAUUGGUUUUAUGUCUCUUAGAAACUAUUAGUUGAUAAAAAAUAGAUUCACAUGGCCGUGUGCCGUCUUCAAGGCGCGUGGGGCGUCGUGACUGGGUUUUACUCCUGUAGAAAGGACUGCUUGGCAGAUUUAGGGAAGGACAAGGCUUUGUGGUCACUCCUUUCCUCUCUCAGCGUGUCCCAGUGUGAUGGGACACGGCUGGAUUCAACUGGAUGUUUGCUCAACGGUCAAAGGGAAACAGGUUUUCAUACCAAUGUUUUUUUUUCCCUUUCACAUUGUCUCUUUGACACUUUUGCUACUGUCAUGAUUAUUAUUAUUAUUAUAUUAUUUCUAUUGCUCACAUUGUUACUAUUUUUACUCUACUAAAUCCGCAACAGCUGCUAUUAUUAGUCGUCAUUUAAAAUCAUAAUGUGGCUUGGUACUUAUUUUUAAUUCAAUUUAAUCUAAGCUUUAUUUGAUAUGGACAAUCACAGCGGCAUUACAGUUGUGACGCAAUAAUGAAGAAUAACGAGAUGCACUGCGUUUAGUGCUAAUUUAAAAACACAUGUCCACAGGAAGCUUUUUAAAGGGAAAAAAAAAACACAAGAUACAGCCAAAAGUACACAUAUAAAUACAUACAAGUGCACAUGCAGGGUGUGUGAACACUGCUGCCUCUCGUCUAACCAUGAUUUUAUGCCUCUAUUAAAAACAUUUUGCUGCAUUUUCAAUUCUGUUGAAUUGUUCUGUCAAUAUUUAAAUCAUUUCUGUCAUAUGCAUUGAACGUAUUGUUCCUCUUCUACGUUGUUUGUUCUGCACACGUGACAUCCAUUGCAUUCCAUCCAUCUGACGUUCUCCCUGAGGUUUCUUGCAUUACCUUUUGAAGGGUUUUUUAUUUCGGGGUUAGUUUUCCUGUGUCGAUGGGAGGCUUUUGAGACACGCUUGUGUACAGAUUGUAAAGCCUCUAAGGUAAAGUUGUGAUGUUGGGCUGCACAAAAUGAAUGUAAUUCUUGAUAUAACAGUGAGUGAAUGCAGAGUAUCUAAUAACAGGAGUAAUAUGAUCCAUUUCCUCUGUUUUUGCUAAAUCACGUGCUGCAGCAUUCUGAAUGAACUGAAGAGACUUAUGAGAGCGGCCUGAUGAUAAAGAAUGUUUUUAAUCUAGUGUACAAGUAACCUGUUCAGACUCCCAUCUGAAAAGUGUCUUGAAGUCUGUUUUAUUUGAGAGUUAAAGGACAGUUAAAGUUGUUGCUGGGUGCCAAAGCUAGAGAAACAUUUUCAUUAGACAACUUCUGAGGUUGUUGGUCAUCUAUAGUUUUAUGUCCCUAAAACAUGCUCGCAAUUUAGCAAGCUGGUUGGUUUCUUCUGGCUGGAUCUAUAAACAUAAUGAUGAGAAUCGUCUGCAUAACGAGGAGAGUUUACCAGCACAGAACCUGAGUGACUACGUCAGUAGUCAUAGAGGUUUCAUUGUUGAAAUACAAACUGAUUGAUCUGAUAAGUAGGACUUAAACCCGCAGAGUGUUUUUUUGUCAAUGCCAAUCAAAUGUUCCAGUCCCUGGAACAGGAUACCAAGAUCAAUGAUGCCCAACACAACACUACGGUCCAAGAACAUACAAAUCCUAUUUCUUAUGCAAUUAAAACGGUAAUUUGUAAUUUAACCAGGGCUGUCCCUCUAAUUCCUGACUGAAAAUCCUUAGAUAAACCUUUGUUACGUCGAAAGUCAUUUCCUGUGAAGUGGGAAAACAUUUUGAGAAGGAUCAACAAAAGGAUUAAACAGAAAAAUGUUACGUUAGUUAGCUAAAGGUAUUUACAUACUAGCCCUAACCCUCUGGCCCUACACCGUUGGGAGCAGAAAGGCGGCAGGGCGAGGGGGGUAUUUGGACUGGGCCUUAAUGUGCUGACACCUUCUCUGAUAACAUGCUCCUAUCGGUUCCAGUCACGGGGAACCACUUACCAUGAAGACUCUUCCUGUGUGUGUUUUACUGAACUUGCAUGGCUCAGCACUGGUUCAGGAGUACAGAACUGUAGAUACAUAGCUCACUGAACUGGAAAUGUCCCAGGACUCCAGUUUGAGGUACAGAAUUGUGGUUCUUUGUUUACCUUAAUGACUGAUCCAUGGAGACCUUCCACACUAAUUCCAUUUGCUCUUAGUUGCAGAACAGUGUGACGGUUUCUCAAUGUGAUGCCGUCAGAUGUUUUGUUUUGGUUUAUUUAUGCUUUGUGUAAUGGCCCACCUGGGAUUUCUAAUGAUUGACACGGAGUUUGGGUUAGGGCUCUCCUACCAGUGAGCGCUCUACUGACCUUCACAACAUGUGUGUACUUUGCAGGAUCGUUGUCCCCACUGUUAGAUUUUGUCUGUUGGCAUGAACCAGGUAAAGUAAAAGCCUCCCAUGCUUUUAUGGUGGCGGUGCCCAUAUCCAUACCCCGGUACAUGAAUGACUGGGAAGGGAGGCGGAGAACUCUUAUUUUGGUGCAACGUAACGUUUGCAAGUUGUUCUUUGAUUCCCACCACAUGGGAUGCAACAGGCCCAGUUGGUAAUAACCUGUUUCCAUGCACACACGCAUAUUAGUGCUGAACAACAAUUACAAUUUUCAGUGGCAACUAAUAGCAUCAAUCUCUGAUUGAAAUAUAAUCUGAUUUGUAAUAUAAUAACACACAAAAUUCAAUAAUUGCUUUAAAAAAAAACACUUAACAAAUGAGGUGUGUUUUACCUGCAGUAUUCCCACACAGCAGCAGUUAAAAUACCUCUUGUAAAUCUCAACUUGAACAUAAGUCAUUUAAUAGUAGUAAAUCAAAUCAAAUAUAAAACCAAAGCCGCAACUGCCAGGGCACCAAAGCCUCGUUUGCGCUACUGCGUUUUCAGAGAGACGCAAGGACGCGCAGACGCAAGAGAUCCUUGUGUGUCUUUUCACACCUCCUUGCGUGCGUCGACCCAUUUUUCUUUCUUUGUCUCCAGCAGCCCGCAAGGCUGCGAUUGGUCUGCUAACUACAUCCUUACGGAGUCUCAGAUUUCUGUUUUCAUAGCACAAUACCGCCAUUAUUAAAAGGAAGAAUGUUUACGAGAGAACGGAUCAGAUUGAAGAGCUUUUGUGGGAAGAAAUGCGUGAAUAUGAGGACUUCUACAAGCCGUCAUUGGCGGACGGCCUCUGGUUGACGGAGGGAGAUCUCCACCAACGCCGGUUCGCCAGUCGAGGGGUGCACAAAGUUGUGGAGGAAAAUGUGGGACAAAUGUGUCCUUGAUGAAAAGCAGCAGUGUGGAUGCACGGGGCAAUAAAGUCUGUGAUAAAUAAAUAAACCAACCAAUGACUUCCACACACAAAGACGUAACUCUCUAGGUGAAUGCAACACACGCAAGACUUUUAGAACCAUCAAUUGAAACGAGUGCGUCGACGCAAAGACGCAGACGCGUGCACCAGCCUUUACGUUUUAUCUAGAUUUUUAUGGAAAAACAAGUUACCCUCCACAAUCAUAACAUUACAACAGGCAAGUUAACAUUUAUUAAGUCAAGCAUGUUUAUUUUAUCAGGGAGCAUCAUAAACCGUCCAUCUAUUGAUCAAUAAUCUAUCUUCAGUAACAGGUGUCCCAGUGAGAGUGGAGUGCUCCAUCAGUACACAGCUGGGAUUUACUGCAGGGACCGUUCAGUCUGUGAUGUUCUUGUUUGAACUGGAUGUCCAUUGGACUCAGUGAGGCAAGUUACUAAUAACUUUGGUUUUAUCCUUAUAUAUUGCUCCCUUUCUCUAAUUCUCUGCAUCCUGUUGCAGCAGUCUUAGUCCCGCCCCCCAAUGCGCUCGUUGGUUGAGACGGGUGAUCACGCCCCUCCCCCAAGCCAAUACUGAUCAACACCUCCUGUGACCAGGUUUGUCCGUUUGUCUACUCAGAUGAAGAGAGCCACAGAUUUUCAAACAAAUAAUCUUUUUUUUUUAACUGAUUACGCAAAUUUUAAGGCAUUAACUUGCUCAGCAAUAUACAGUAUAUCAAAUAUUAAUAUUCAAUACGUUUUACGGAACCAUAGAAUAGAUACAUGACAGCCUGUUGCUGUGGUAUUGUAUCCCAUUAAAUGUGAAAUGCACGAGUAUGACAGGAACGUGGCCCUCAGCAUGUGAAAAGACAUGGAGACACAUCCAACAUGUUCCUCAAGGACACGUGAGAUCACGUCUAUCCGGAGACGCUGCACCAGCUCUGUUGACAUUACCUGGAUAACCAGUGGCACAUGUUCAUUGACAGUGUUUGCUGCCAGCUUGUCGCCUUGUGGAGCGAGUGUUGGUUCAUUAUGUUUAUUGAGAAGACCUGUGGCCGAUGUGAUAUUGGUCUGGGUUGGCGUCAGGUGGGAGCUGGAAAGCCUGUCUGAGAUGGUGGGGGGGUUGAGCAGACAGGGGGAGUCAGGCUGUAAGCAGGUUUCCUCGUUAAGGCAGAUUACAAGGAGAAAGACAGUGGACCAGAGGCUGAGGCAAACCACAUUAAACUUAGUUACUAUUCUGGCUGUAGCAUUAGUACAUGUGAGGACUGACUAUCUCGACCAGACUGGAGUGAAGAGCUGGAAAAUACCAACUGUGGUCGCUAGAUGGGUAGAUGAAUAGAAGGUGUGGAGGUUAAUUGGCAGUAGGAGGGGAUGAGGAUCCACACACACACACACAGGAAUUAGCAUAUUGGGGGGCGCUACAGCUGGAGCAUGUUCGGUUACAGCGUCUCCCUGUCUUUGGCGCUGUGGCUGAGUGGCAGAUCUGGCAUCAUCCAACAACUCCUGUCUGAUCUGAGGGAGACGUUGCAGAACAUGUGGAGCCAUAUGUUACGCUGCAUCAUCGGUUGCUAUGCAAAGAUUCCGGAUGCUGCCAAAAUUAAAGAUAAACCCUCGGUUUUCACCAGCAUGCAGCCAUUUUGCAUCAAUUGUUUAAUUUGGUACACUUCAGUGUGCAUUCUGAACUCAUGAUCACAUAGGGUUGUCAUCAGUAGCAGCUGGCCCAUAGAGGGGCAUCUUGAGCCACAAAAUAUAUAUAUAUAUAUAUAUAUAUAUAUAUAUAUAGUUUUAUUAUAUUAAAAAUACAUUUUAGUAAUCGUAAAUAUUUGUGUUUUUGAAACAUUGAAUAUAUACAGUAAUAUUUCUAAAUUAAGAUAUGUGCGCAAAAUAGGAAGGUGAAGCUGGAACGUACGAAGCUUCUGUAGAGAUGCUACACGCGGAACGUUAAGCUAGCUGGAUGAAGUCGCGCUGACGCCGUGUUUAUCUUCCCAUCAUCGCUUUUUAAAUAAACGGGGAUGGAUGAAUAAUGGACAGAUACGGGAGAGAGGGACACAAAGCACAUUCGAAAGAAAACAAUACAAGAGGACACACGGAUAGGUGGAAUUCCACCAGCUGCCACUGGUUGUCAUCAAACUAAGCUAAGGCUACGUGUGUUAGGCUGUGUAUGGGUGAGUUUAGGGGUGUUCAUGUUUAUUACCACAUGUCCUGUCUUUUAUUUGUCUAAAAGGUGCUUUGUCAUGUUUGACGUUUGCCCCCUCUGGUUACCGAGACACGUCUGCAAUGGAGCCAAAGUACUUCAGAUUUCACUUCUGGCAUCUUUUUCCAAUUAACCGGCGACGGUCGCCAAGGGCUCAUACAUGUGACGCCAUGCGUCCCCUGUGCUCAGGCGCUGUUGGCAGCGCCGCCUCGUUGCAGGUCAAUGUGUGCAGGCAGCAUGACGGAGCAGUGAGUGCGCUCUGAUUGCGCAUAAUUUAAAUUAAGUGUCAUUGCAAAAAAUAUGCAAAAUGGUAGUAUUGAUACACUCUUAGUGGAGAGAGGUCGUCUGCUCUUUGCCUUAGGCUGUUUGUUACUACUAGAGAAUUUGAUAGUUCUGUAGCCAGUAGCUUUUGCAGUAUCUUCUGGGACGUUUAGUGUCAGCCGUGUGCGUCCUAUUGACCCGGGAGACAGUUAUGAUAGACAUAGGAUAUUUUCUCGCUGGUGACGGGAGAUGUCCAGGCCUUUGUGGCCAUGAAAGAAUCAGCAGCAUUAUGCUGUUUUGUGCUGUUAAGAGCUCCAGUAAGGCAAACAUAUACAUGGUGCAGAGAAGUAAGCUGUGGGGGCCUACGUCUACAACAAGAUAGAUACCUGUGCAGCACAGGACUGUGGGAAAUUCGGUGUGCUCAUGACGAGAAACAACCACUAGCACUCCCGGGUUGGAAAAGCCAGUCCAAUCACUGCUCACUCACUUCUAUCCAAUAAGCAGAAUGCCAAAUGGUACAUGCUAUGGAGGGAGCAGAGCAUGAAGCCCAGGACAAAGAUCUUUAUCCAGGAUGUCCUGACAGGUCUUCGGUCCGUUUUGCAGCUCCUCUGAAGACUUGUGAGCACAGAAGUGGGACAGAACAGGUAAGCGGCAUGAGGAGUGUUUCUUCUUUUUUAAAUAAUCAUAGCUUAUUGCAUUUAUUUACUUAUUUUGAACAUACUAAUGCUCAUCUAUGAUCAGUUCCAGUGCACAGAUGAAACUAAAAUUUACUUCCUAAAAAAACACAGUUGUUAAGUGUGACAAAGUGGGUAACAACUCACCUUUGUCCCCAUGUUGGUAUGUGUGUUGGAUGCUCUGCAGGUGGAGGCUAGAGGGGAGACCUAGUGUUUGUGUGCAGGGGAUGAUUGGACCAGGUAUACGGGGGGGGGUCAUAAUGGGUGUCACCUCUGCACAUGGUGCAACCUGGGGCGGGGUUGAUUGACGGUGCUAUAAAGGUGGAGGACAUUGACUGUUGGGGGGAAAAUGGUGGAACGUCCGUGUAGCUGAGGGCACGUGUUAGAUGAGGUUAUGUGGUGUUGAUU